AACGUAGGAGACAAACGUUAUCCGGAGUUACUGGGCUUAAAGGGCGUGUAGGCGGUUUGUUAAGUCUGGCGUGAAAGCUCUCGGCUAAACCGGGAGAGGUCGUUGGAUACUGGCAAACUAGAGGACGGUAGAGGCGUGUGGAAUUCCGGGUGUAGUGGUGAAAUGCGUAGAGAUCCGGAGGAACACCAGUGGCGAAGGCGACACGCUGGGCCGUACCUGACGCUAAAGCGCGACAGCAUGGGGAGCAAACGGG
rnacentral:rRNA from 1 species